rnacentral:rRNA from 1 species
AGAGUUUGAUCCUGGCUCAGGAUGAACGCCGGCGGUGUGCCUAAUACAUGCAAGUCGUACGCACUGGCCCAACUGAUUGAUGGUGCUUGCACCUGAUUGACGUUGGAUCACCAGUGAGUGGCGGACGGGUGAGUAACACGUAGGUAACCUGCCCCGGAGCGGGGGAUAACAUUUGGAAACAGAUGCUAAUACCGCAUAACAACAAAAGCCACAUGGCUUUUGUUUGAAAGAUGGCUUUGGCUAUCACUCUGGGAUGGACCUGCGGUGCAUUAGCUAGUUGGUAAGGUAACGGCUUACCAAGGCGAUGAUGCAUAGCCGAGUUGAGAGACUGAUCGGCCACAAUGGAACUGAGACACGGUCCAUACUCCUACGGGAGGCAGCAGUAGGGAAUCUUCCACAAUGGGCGCAAGCCUGAUGGAGCAACACCGCGUGAGUGAAGAAGGGUUUCGGCUCGUAAAGCUCUGUUGUUGGAGAAGAACGUGCGUGAGAGUAACUGUUCACGCAGUGACGGUAUCCAACCAGAAAGUCACGGCUAACUACGUGCCAGCAGCCGCGGUAAUACGUAGGUGGCAAGCGUUAUCCGGAUUUAUUGGGCGUAAAGCGAGCGCAGGCGGUUGCUUAGGUCUGAUGUGAAAGCCUUCGGCUUAACCGAAGAAGUGCAUCGGAAACCGGGCGACUUGAGUGCAGAAGAGGACAGUGGAACUCCAUGUGUAGCGGUGGAAUGCGUAGAUAUAUGGAAGAACACCAGUGGCGAAGGCGGCUGUCUGGUCUGCAACUGACGCUGAGGCACGAAAGUGCGGGGAUCAAACAGGAUUAGAUACCCUGGUAGUCCACGCAGUAAACGAUGAAUGCUAAUUGUCCGGAGGGAUUGACCUCUGGGCGAUACAGCGAAAGCGUUAAGCAUUCCACCUGGGGAGUACGCCGGCAACGGUGAAACUCAAAGGAAUUGACGGGGGCCCGCACAAGCGGAGGAACAUGUGGUUUAAUUCGAUGAUACGCGAGGAACCUUACCCGGGCUCAAACGCAGGAGGAAUACAUUUGAAAGGGUGUAGCUCUACGGAGUCUUCUGCGAGGUGCUGCAUGGUUGUCGUCAGCUCGUGCCGUGAGGUGUCGGCUUAAGUGCCAUAACGAGCGCAACCCCUAUCGACAGUUGCCAACAGGUGAAGCUGGGAACUCUGUCGAGACUGCCGGCGCAAGCUGAGAGGAAGGCGGGGAUGACGUCAAAUCAGCACGGCCCUUACGUCCGGGGCGACACACGUGUUACAAUGGCGGCCACAGCGGGAAGCCAGGCGGCGACGCCGAGCGGAACCCGAAAAGCCGUCUCAGUUCGGAUCGCAGCCUGCAACCCGGCUGCGUGAAGCUGGAAUCGCUAGUAAUCGCGGAUCAGAAUGCCGCGGUGAAUACGUUCCCGGGUCUUGCACACACCGCCCGUCA